GACGCGCCGAGCGGGACCCUGAGGAGCCAGCUGGCUCAGGCUAUGGGCUGGGCGGCGGUUGAGACAGCGGCGGUAUUGGGAGGGGUAGGUGAGGGUCGCGAGGCUGCGUGAGCAUCUGAGUGAACGCGGUGCUUUUGGGAACGCGGGACGGGCGACCUGUGGCGCCAGGAGCGGGCCGAGGCGCGGCGCACGGAUGCCAUCUGGAUGGGAAGUUACGGUUUACAGCGAAGUCCACCCAGCGUUUCCGAGGUGAAGGCGCCGCGCCAGGCCGGGGGGCGUGUUGUUCAUCCUUUCUUUGCCGAAAGAAUGAAUCCCAGUGCUUCACGAAGUUAAAGGAAAGAUCUGCUGACAGGGCCUCACUCUAUUGCCCAGGCUAGAGUGCCGUGGCAGGAUCUCAGCUCACUGCAACCUCCACCUCCUGGCUCAAGCGAUCCUCCCACCUCAGCCUCCUGAGUAGCUGCGACUAUAGGAGUGUGCCACCAUGCCUGGCUUAAUUUUCAUAUUUUUUGUAGAGAUGGGGAUUCAACAUGUUUCCCAGGCAAUCUGAAAGCAAAUCCUGUUUAGAUGCAGGCGAAGGUUCCUGGUGACCCAGGCUCUCACCUUACCGUCCCUUACCGUCCUCCUGAGGGUGUCCUGGAGCUUCAGUGCUGUGUGUUCUUGGCCUCCACGCUGGGGGUGCCACCAACUCCCACUGUCCAGGGCUUCCAGUGGACUCUCCGAGGUACUGAUGUAGAAACUUCCCCAUUCGGUGCACCAAGAGCAACCUCACACGGUGUGGGCCGAAUGAAGAGCUGCCAGAUCCCACAGCCCUUGAAGAUAAGGAUGGUCAAACAAAAUAAUAUCAUACCUGGAGAAACUCAGAUCUUGCUAAGAUUUACUGGUUGGGAAUCCAAAGUUAAUGCCAAGAAGCAGCCGCCAGUUGGGAUCAAAUGUGAGCCUAUGGAUCAAGACGGUUACCUGGCACGCUGGCCACAAUCUACCUCACUCUUAUCAGAGUCUGAGCUACUGGCAGUGCUUUCAGCUCUGAGUUGAGGCACCUCGAACCUUGUUUUUGUGGUGAAGGAUCCUAAAGUGCUGUGGGAGUGAUCACAUUUUUCACAACAGUAAGGUAAGAAUUUCAGUUACUGACAUCCCUCAGUCCUGAUUAAACCUAUUUGAUUUCACCAGUUUUUAACCCAUCAUAUGUUUGGGUUUCUUCUCCCCAGUCCCUGACUCCACCUCUUCUGCCACAAACGUCAGCAUGGUGGUAUCAGCCGGCCCUUGGUCCAGCGAGAAGGCAGAGAUGAACAUUCUAGAAAUCAACGAGAAAUUGCGCCCCCAGUUGGCAGAGAACAAACAGCAGUUCGUAAACCUCAAAGAGAGAUGUUUUCUAACUCAACUGGCCGGCUUCCUGGCCAACCGACAGAAGAAAUACAAGUAUGAAGAGUGUAAAGACCUCAUAAGAUUUAUGCUGAGGAAUGAGCGACAGUUCAAGGAGGAGAAGCUUGCAGAGCAGCUCAAGCAAGCUGAGGAGCUCAGGCAAUAUAAAGUCCUGGUUCACUCUCAGGAACGAGAGCUGACGCAGUUAAAGGAGAAGUUACAGGAAGGGAGAGAUGCCUCCCGCUCAUUGAAUGAGCAUCUCCAGGCCCUCCUCACUCUGGAUGAGCCGGACAAGUCCCAGGGGCAGGACCUCCAAGAACAGCUGGCUGAGGGGUGUAGACUGGCACAGCACCUUGUCCAAAAGCUCAGCCCAGAAAAUGACGAAGAUGAGGAUGAAGAUGUUCAAGUUGAGGAGGAUGAGAAAGUGCAGAAAUCAUCUGCCCCCAGGGAGGUGCAGAAGGCUGAAGAGAGCAAAGUCCCUGAGGACUCACUGGAGGAAUGUGCCAUCACUUGUUCAAAUAGCCACGGCCCUUGUGACUCCAACCAGCCUCACAAGAACAUCAAAAUCACAUUUGAGGAAGACGAAGUCAACUCAACUCUGGUUGUAGACAGAGAAUCCUCUCAUGAUGAAUGUCAGGAUGCUCUAAACAUUCUCUCAGUCCCUGGCCCCACCUCUUCUGCCACAAACGUCAGCAUGGUGGUAUCAGCCGGCCCUUUGUCCAGCGAGAAGGCAGAGAUGAACAUUCUAGAAAUCAAUGAGAAAUUGCACCCCCAGCUGGCAGAGAAGAAACAGCAGUUCAGAAACCUCAAAGAGAAAUGUUUUCUAACUCAACUGGCCGGCUUCCUGGCCAACCGACAGAACAAAUACAAAUAUGAAGAGUGCAAAGAUCUCAUAAAAUCUAUGCUGAGGAAUGAGCGACAGUUCAAGGAGGAGAAGCUUGCAGAGCAGCUCAAGCAAGCUGAGGAGCUCAGGCAAUAUAAAGUCCUGGUUCACACUCAGGAACGAGAGCUGACCCAGUUAAGGGAGAAGUUGCGGGAAGGGAGAGAUGCCUCCCUCUCAUUGAAUGAGCAUCUCCAGGCCCUCCUCACUCCGGAUGAGCCGGACAAGUCCCAGGGGCAGGACCUCCAAGAACAGCUGGCUGAGGGGUGUAGACUGGCACAGCACCUUGUCCAAAAGCUCAGCCCAGAAAAUGACAACGAUGACGAUGAAGAUGUUCAAGUUGAGGUGGCUGAGAAAGUGCAGAAAUCGUCUGCCCCCAGGGAGAUGCAGAAGGCUGAAGAAAAGGAAGUCCCUGAGGACUCACUGGAGGAAUGUGCCAUCACUUAUUCAAAUAGCCAUGGCCCUUAUGACUCCAACCAGCCACAUAGGAAAACCAAAAUCACAUUUGAGGAAGACAAAGUCGACUCAGCUCUCAUUGGCUCAUCCUCUCAUGUUGAAUGGGAGGAUGCUGUACACAUUAUUCCAGAAAAUGAAAGUGAUGAUGAGGAAGAGGAAGAAAAAGGACCAGUGUCUCCCAGGACAUCGGUGGGAUCAAGUGAAAAAGGAGGACCAAGAGGCAACAGGUCCCAGGCUCAGCAGGGAGCUGCUGGAUGAGAAAGGGCCUGAAGUCUUGCAGGACUCACUGGAUAGAUGUUAUUCAACUCCUUCAGGUUGCCUUGAACUGACUGACUCAUGCCAGCCCUACAGAAGUGCGUUUUACAUAUUGGAGCAACAGCGUGUUGGCUUGGCUGUUGACAUGGAUGAAAUUGAAAAGUACCAAGAAGUGGAAGAAGACCAAGACCCAUCAUGCCCCAGGCUCAGCAGGGAGCUGCUGGAUGAGAAAGAGCCUGAAGUCUUGCAGGACUCACUGGAUAGAUGUUAUUCGACUCCUUCAGGUUAUCUUGAACUGCCUGACUUAGGCCAGCCCUACAGCAGUGCUGUUUACUCAUUGGAGGAACAGUACCUUGGCUUGGCUCUUGACGUGGACAGAAUUAAAAAGGACCAAGAAGAGGAAGAAGACCAAGGCCCACCAUGCCCCAGGCUCAGCAGGGAGCUGCUGGAGGUAGUAGAGCCUGAAGUCUUGCAGGACUCACUGGAUAGAUGUUAUUCAACUCCUUCCAGUUGUCUUGAACAGCCUGACUCCUGCCAGCCGUAUGGAAGUUCCUUUUAUGCAUUGGAGGAAAAACAUGUUGGCUUUUCUCUUGACGUGGGAGAAAUUGAAAAGAAGGGGAAGGGGAAGAUAAGAAGGGGAAGAAGAUCAAAGAAGAAAAGAAGAAGGGGAAGAAAAGAAGGGGAAGAAGAUCAAAACCCACCAUGCCCCAGGCUCAACAGCGUGCUGAUGGAAGUGGAAGAGCCUGAAGUCUUACAGGACUCACUGGAUAGAUGUUAUUCGACUCCAUCAAUGUACUGUGAACUACGUGACUCAUUCCAGCACUACAGAAGUGUGUUUUACUCAUUUGAGGAACAGCACAUCAGCUUUGCCCUUGACAUGGACAAUAGGUUCUUUACUUUGACGGUGACAAGUCUCUAUCUGGUCUUCCAGAUGGGAGUCAUAUUCCCACAAUAAGCAGCCCUUACUAAGCCGAGAGGUGUCAUUCCUGCAGGCAGGACCUAUAGGCGCCUGAAGAUUUGAAUGAAACUAUAGUUCCAUUUGGAAGCCCAGACAUAGGAUGGGUCAGUGGGCAUGGCUCUAUUCCUAUUCUCAGAGCAUGCCAGUGGCAACCUGUGCUCAGUCUGAAGACAAUGGACCCACGUUAGGUGUGACACGUUCACAUAACUGUGCAGCACAUGCCGGGAGUGAUCAGUCGGACAUUUUAAUUUGAACCACGUAUCUCUGGGUAGCUACAAAAUUCCUCAGGGAUUUCAUUUUGCAGGCAUGUCUCUGAGCUUCUAUACCUGCUCAAGGUCAUUGUCAUCUUUGUGUUUAGCUCAUCCAAAGGUGUUACCCUGGUUUCAAUGAACCUAACCUCAUUCUUUGUGUCUUCAGUGUUGGCUUGUUUUAGCUGAUCCAUCUGUAACACAGGAGGGAUCCUUGGCUGAGGAUUGUAUUUCAGAACCACCAACUGCUCUUGACAAUUGUUAACCCGCUAGGCUCCUUUGGUUAGAGAAGCCACAGUCCUUCAGCCUCCAAUUGGUGUCAGUACUUAGGAAGACCACAGCUAGAUGGACAAACAGCAUUGGGAGGCCUUAGCCCUGCUCCUCUCAAUUCCAUCCUGUAGAGAACAGGAGUCAGGAGCCGCUGGCAGGAGACAGCAUGUCACCCAGGACUCUGCCGGUGCAGAAUAUGAGCAAUGCCAUGUUCUUGCAGAAAACGCUUAACCUGAGUUUCAUAGGAGGUAAUCACCAGACAACUGCAGAAUGUAGAACACUGAGCAGGACAACUGACCUGUCUCCUUCACAUAGUCCAUAUCACCACAAAUCACACAACAAAAAGGAGAAGAGAUAUUUUCGGUUGAAAAAAAGUAAAAAGAUAAUGUAGCUGCAUUUCUUUAGUUAUUUUGAACCCCAAAUAUUUCCUCAUCUUUUUGUUGUUGUCAUGGAUGGUGGUGACAUGGACUUGUUUAUAGAGGACAGGUCAGCUGUCUGGCUCAAUGAUCUACAUUCUGAAGUUGUCUGAAAAUGUCUUCAUGAUUAAAUUCAGCCUAAACGUUUUGCCGGGAACACUGCAGAGACAAUGCUGUGAGUUUCCAACCUCAGCCCAUCUGCGGGCAGAGAAGGUCUAGUUUGUCCAUCACCAUUAUGAUAUCAGGACUGGUUACUUGGUUAAGGAGGGGUCUAGGAGAUCUGUCCCUUUUAGAGACACCUUACUUAUAAUGAAGUACUUGGGAAAGCAGUUUUCAAGAGUAUAAAUAUCCUGUAUUCUAAUGAUCAUCCUCUAAACAUUUUAUCAUUUAUUAAUCCUCCCUGCCUGUGUCUAUUAUUAUAUUCAUAUCUCUACACUGCAAAUUUUGGGUCUCAAUUUUUACUGUGCCUUUGUUUUUACUAGUGUCUGCUGUUGCAAAAAGAAGAAAACAUUCUCUGCCUGAGUUUUAAUUUUUGUCCAAAGUUAAUUUUAAUCUAUACAAUUAAAACCUUUUGCCUAUCACUCUGGACUUUUGGAUUGUUUUUCACAUUCAGUGUUAUAAUAUUUGAUUAUGCUGAUUGGUUUUGGUGGGUACUGAUGCGAAUUAAUAAAAACAUUUCAUUUCCAUGUUUAUUUUGUAAUCUCUUCCACAUUGUAGGCUAUGUUUACCAUACGUAGCAGAAUGUGUUUACAUUUCUUGGUUCUAGUCAUUUGUAUUCUUCGUGAGUGUGAGAGUGUGUGUGUGCGUGUGUGUGUCUGUGUGUGCCUUUGGCAUUUAGGAAGGGUUGUAUAGCUCAUGUUAAAUAUUGCACUAAAAAUGUUUUUGAUGGUUUUCCUCCCUUUGAACUAGACACACUUCUAAUAUUUGGUUUAUAGUUUUAAAUUAUAACUUUCAGCAUCAAAUAUUUCCAUACAACAGUCAAUUACAUGAUGUGUUUUCUUUUUCCUACCUCCUUUACCUGCCACUUCUCAUAAUAGUAUUUGAACCUAAACAUAUACCGGUGACAUUCUGUGAUUAUCAUCUUGCCCCUACCUUGGUUUUUGGUUUAGAUCCACAAUGAAAUAUAUUAACGCUCAUGAGCUAUUCAAAAGUGAAUGUCACAGUCAUCACUUGCUGAGUGGUACUCAUCCUUAACAGAGUCCUCAUGAGGGAAUCAGGUCUCGCUGAGUUUAGCAUGUUUAAUAAUCUUUUCUCACGGUCUCGAUACAUGGAUCGCAUUACUAGAUAUAAGGUGCUUGCCCAAAAUGAUUUUUCUGGAGUUUUUAGGAGAUAUUGUCCUCCUUGGGGGACAUACAUGGUGUAUGUUCUCAUUGUGGGAUUCGAUUUUGUUCUACCAGGACCUCUAAUUUCUGCCAGUUACUUCACUCAUUUGUUCUCUUCACCAUGAGUCUCCAGAGGAUACUUCCAUGGUCCGUGCCUCCCCAUCUCCCAGUAAUUCUGCAUUUCCAAGAUUGGCACCUCUGGUCCUCUGCACGGUGAAGCCCCUUCCUUUCAAUUCCCCAGUAGCCAGUGCUCUAAUCCACCAGGUCUCAGGCAUGAUCUAUGUUUCUCCACACUCGCUUUCUGAGGAUAGUUUUGCCUGGGUUCUAUCAUGAACAGGCCCUCCCUGCUGUCCUGGCCUCUAUUUGCAUAGUGUUUCCUGCUCCCUCUGCCGUCGUGUGGCUCCCAGACCUGGCUAAAGAAAAUCACCUGAGGGCCACAGUGUUCCCUAGCCCUGGUGUUUAGGGGCAGGAUUAUGGGUGAGAUUUUUGAGUCUCUAAGUUGACCCCUACGGCUCUGAAGUGUAUGUUGAGAAAUUCAGCUGUUAUCAUCCUAGGUGGACUUGCUCCCUCCUAUCCUCCUACUUCAAAUGCAGAACUUCAAUCGUUUACAAAAGAAGACUGAAUCGUAUAAUAGAACACACCCUUAUUCAUUGGCUGGCUUCACCAAUCUCGUGGCUGAACUUGUAAAAAUACAAUCUUAGCCACAUACCUAUGAAAUGUAUAUGUGUGUGUAUAUAUAUACAUGAAUUUGCUUCUGAGAUUAUGGAGGCUGAAAUUCCCAAGAUGGAAGGAAAGCUGGAUACCCAGGAAAGCAUUUGUUUCCCAUUAGGCCUCUUAAUUCUCUCCUGGCCCUUGAUUGAUUGCAUGAGGCCCACCCCUAUUAAGGAGGGCAAUCUGCUUCACUUAGUCUGCCCAUCCCAAUGUUAAUCGUAUCUGAAAGACUCUCUGGAACACAACCAGAAUCAUGUUUGGCCAAAUGUCCUGGCACCCUGGUGCUCGGUCACAGUGACAAGUACAAGUAACUAUCACACAUGCCCUUUGUCAUAUUGGUGAUUUCCACUGUUUUUCUCCCAAACUGCAGCUUAUAUUUGUUCUCUUAGUACUGUUGAGCAAAAACUUAAUUUUUAUAAAGUCGAAUUUAUCAAUGUUUUCUUUAAUGGUUUGUGUUUAUUGAUAAUAAAGAACACUUUACCUAA